AAUAGCUUGUACUAGAUUAAAAAUGCUGCAGCCCUUAGACACAAGGUGCUGAACUAUUAUAAGACCACACUGACUGAAGCUGGGGUUGGUGGUGAGAAUAUUUAUAUAAACAUAUGAAGGAGUGAUUUUUUUUUCUGCCAGGAUUGUGUAAGAUCAAGAAUCAGAUAACCAUAUUUCUGAAUGAAGCCAAUUUGCCAGCCCAAAGGCUCUUUUGCCAGCUCUUUCAUGCUCCCUUUGUGCUCUUGGUGCUACUUUGCCAUGGAACUCAAAUGUUUCACAAUAAAUAUAUGCAGGUUUGGGUGCAUAUUCACUCUUAUACUUUGGUGAUGGUGUAGCAUUACUGAUCAGACAGAGCCUGGACCAGAGCCACAGUGGAAAUUGUGUGCUUGGCAAGCACAAGUGAACCAAGCAAGUGAUCCCAAGUGAACCAAGCAAGAGGUUUUUGAUCUAUUUGGAUUCUGUGGAAAAUAUAUAUUGACAACACCAUGGAACUUCAGGAAUGAUUUUUUUGUAGCAUCCUCUCUUUGCAAAUGUAUCAGCCUGGCGGACCACAGACAGCACAGGAUUAAGAAUCCUGCCUUCAGGAAGACAAGGGGUAAAAAUGAAUGCUUCGGUUCUGAUUGCCAUGGCCCUAACUUCUCCAGGCCUGAAACACAAAGCUCCCCUUCCUUGUACUGCAUUCAAUUGUACCUGCUUCUCACUGACCUGAUGUUCUAGCAUUUUUUUCAUGUCAUUGCUGUGUUGCAGUUACUAUGAGAAAGCAGGUAUGUCUCAGGCACUGAAUCAAACACUUAUUCUGAACAGGAUUCAUGUGGCUCUAGACAGGGCCCAUGCACUCCGCACCCUGCUACUGUAUCAGCUCUGACUAUUGGAUGACAUUGUAUCAGAUAUUGGGAAAGUGAGCUUUUAGCUUAGGAAGGGAAAGUGAAAUCUACCUGAUAUUACUCAAGUCAUCAGACUUUUUUUCUUGUCACAGUAACAGGUGACAGCUGCAAUCCAGGACUUCAGCAUUCCAAAGACACAGUGUGGAAAUUGUCUUCAGGACAUUCACUGAGGAGCUUCCCCUACUAGGUAAAAAAUGUGUUUUUCCAACACCCAGAUUCAUGCCAUCCAGCACAGAGAUGAUCUGCAUACCUUAAGGGACUGAUAAUUAUCUUCUAUAUUCUUUUCUAUGCCCAAUCUAUCACAAGUUAGAAGACUGAAAUCAAGCCUUGCGUGAAGUGUAUUUGAACUCAGAGAGUUACUUGAUCCUACUUGUCAUUGCUAUGAAGUAUUUUUGACUUUUCUCCUCUUAUCUCAAGCUUCCAGCAAGUGUAAGUCUCUGCAGACAUCUUGCCUUCUCCUUUCUCCAAAGCCAGAGAGUCCCUGUUGGCUAAGUGUGUGACAUAUCCUACCAUCAUCAGUCCUAGAUUAAGUAGGGAAGGAAAAGCCUUGAGAAACAAUACCUUCUGAUGAGGAGAUAGAUACCCUUAAAUACGUAACAAAAAAUGUAGGAAAGCUAUGAGUAGAAUAAAGUCUGACAGAAAAAUCAAGGACUUUUCUUUGAGGUAGACAAGUACACAUAGCCAGUGACCACUUGAAAAUAAUUAAAUCAUUAACUGAAAAGGUCUUAGUGAAGAUUGCCAAUGGAUGAGCUCAUGACCUUGACUGCCAGGGAGUAGGCACGGUCCCCAGUGGCCCUAAUGGGUCAGUCUGUUGAUCUCAGUGUGCUGGGAGCUUGAGGGACCAUCUUGUGUCAGCAUGUCCAAGACAGAGCUAUGGGACACCUAGAUACAAGGUACCUCCAUGUAUCACCUAACCCUAGUGUUAUCUUCCAUGGUUGUUACAAAAGCUUGCAACACAGUGACUCCUUCCUUUUGAUCUACAGCCUGGAGAUCUGAACUGGUGGAUGUGGUGGUUUAAACCCAGCCAGCAAGUAACACUCAGCUACUUACUCACUGCCCCCUGGCCCCGGUGGGAUGGGGAGGAGGAACUUCUGGGUUUAUAAGAACAGUUUAAAAAUUAAAAUAAAACAUGAAACACUAGACAUCAAACAUAAAAUAUAAUAUAAUGCUAAUAAUAAUAGUAAUAAUGAAAAGGUUGGUAACAAAGACAGAGAAAUAAAAAUUAAACCCAAGAAAGACAAAUUAAGCACAAUGCAAUUGCUCACCACCUGUUAACCAACAUUCAGUCCAAGCCUGGGCAGCAAUUGUCUCCUCCUGUCAACUCCAUCCAUUUAUGUACUGCGGAUGGUAUCCUGUGGUAUGGAAUGUCCCUUUGUCUAGUUUGGUCAGCUGUCCUGGCUGUGCUUCUUUCUUGCUUCUUGCGUAUCUGUUCACUAGCAAAGCUUGGCAAACCUGAAAGUCCUUGAUUUAGAGUAAUUAUUUCUCAGCAGCACCUAAAAUAUCAGUGUGUUAUCAACAUUGUUCUCAUACCCUACAGUACUGUACCAGCUACUAGGAAAAAAAAUUAACUCUAUCUCAGCAGAAGCCACAAUAGCGGAGAGAACUUUUUCCCCAUCAGUGCAGCUGAGGAUGUAUCCAAGUCUACUACCACUUCCUUCUAAAAUGGUUGUUUAAAUUUCCUAAAUAACCUCGCUUGCUGUUGAUUUUCCAGUCCCAAAAUGCUGCCAGGGCACUGAGAUAGGGGAACUGUGUUUUGGGUCUCUGCAUGACUAGUUAUUUCCUCUACUUGCUCAACAACAUGCUUACACACUAGUCUUCUCACCAAAAGAAAAAGGCUGAACUUACCAUCAUUAACAUUGUACUUCUCAUUCUAGAACUCUCUUUUUGCUGCCUCAUCUGUAUUUGCAGAACUCUUCUCAUGAAGCCAGAUGUGAUGCUCUAAUGGAUCCUGUCUUUGUCAUCAUUGGCAAUAUAUGACUACACAGAAAGUGGUGUCUGAUGUAGCCAACUUUGCAGUCUCAUUUUAUGUGGCCCAUUGUGUACAGGAAACUCUUCUGGCUCAGGAAGUCUGCCUGCAUCUGUGCUGCCACCGAAAGCACUGCUGCUCUGCCCACACACAUGCUUUUUGCUCAGUUCAUUUUCCAAAAAUGGAGACACUGUGAUGGCAGAUGUGGUGAUAGGUCCAAGGCAUUUUAUAUUAGUUGUUUAAAGCUGUUCAAUUUAAACAGUUCAUAGACAGAAUCACAGUCUAUGCUGAGUUAGAAGAGACCCAUCAGGAUCAUUGAGUCCAACUCGUGGAUUCAUGUCUUCUCUCACUUGCAGUGAAACCAGGCUGGGAGUUUACAAAGUACCAGAGUGGGAAAGUGGGAUGAAGCUCAACCAGGAUGAGCCAGCUCGACCUGUAAUAUGUAUAGGCAUAAGCAGGACACCCUAUGUUCUGUGUUAUUUGCAAUUUGUAAUCCAAAUUUUGUACAUGGCACUGGUGACCCAGUUCUGCAGAGGUCUUGUAUUAGUAAAUGUAGAUGAAAACUGCAUGAGGGACAUGUCAAUUACAAUGUUGGUUCUUGUUUGAGAAAAUCAAUUAAUGUACCUGGAAAUUAAAGUCUGCAGGUACAGUAGAUGGAGGAGGGAAUGGGAGAGAGAUUUUUUCCUCCUUGAACUCUAAUAGAAAAAAAAGCAGAUGAAACAAGCACAUUCUACAGUCUCAAAUAUAUUUUCUAACCUUGGCUCUUUAAUACAGUUUUCCUUUCAUUACAUUUCUGAGGAGAGGGAACCAAGAACCUGAGCCAUAGACUGAAUUUUUACCUAGCUCCAAGUCUCAGUGGAUUUUAUUGUAGAAGAAUAACCCUUGUAAAAGAAGUGCCCUAACAAGGGUCCAGAUAGAAGUAUACUUGUACUAAUAGAUAAUUUCAAGUACCCAGGAUUAAUGGCUCAAAUACCACUGAAGGAUAUAGGUAAGAGUAGCAAAUUCUUGUUAUCACAAAGGACUGCUUUAAGCAGUAGGUAGCUUUGCUGGUGCACAAGAGAUUUAGUCCUAAGUAACAAAUGAGAUCUGAUUUAAGAAGUAAUUAUAGCUGACUCUCUCUGUCACAGUAGCUGCAAGAUAGUGAAGAUUAGUGUAGUAAUCUUAACUGUAGAAUGAGUGUCCAGAGGCAUAAAACCAUGAAAUCAAAGGCAAAUUAUUUUAGAAAAUAAAAUCCUUAAAAUCAACCUGGUAAAUAUUUAACUUCACUAUAGUAUAAUGAUUAAAAGAACAAACAUACUGCAUCAAGUAGUUUAUUUGAGUAAUAAAUAAGCCGAUAAAGAGUUAAAAGCAGCUCCCAUGAUGCCAGGGGGAAGCGUCAAGAACAGGGUCAUCUGCAUUCUGUAGUUGAUAAAUGUGUCAGAGAGGUUCUGUGAGGAAAUGUAAAAUUCAAAUGGUCAGAAAUAAAUCCGAAAGAAGAUAAAUAUUUGGAAUCAAAGACCUGCAGGCAUCAAGAGAUACAUUAAGCUGUCUUGAGAGAAUGGAUUGAAGACAGCAAGAGAUCUAACCUCUGCAGAUGUUACUGUUUAAAACUAGCAGACCACUAGGGCAUGAAUUUCUGGAAGGCAAGUCACUGUCAGAAACUGUCAUGAAAAUAUUUAAUACUAAAAAAAAUAGCUAAUUUAAGUUACAACUUUCUGUUUCUUUGAGAACUGUAGCAAAAGUAGCAAGAAUUAAAAUCCACCAGGAUCCACUAUUUGCCUCUUCCUCAAAGGAAUGAAGAAACUCUGAGGAGUAUUUUUCCAACCUCUUCUUAGAAAGUUGAAUGGUGGAGAUUAUACCUCAGCUUUUUGGUGACCUAUUUCUGUCUGUAGCUAUCCUUAGAGUCAGAAUUUUCCCUGUUUUAUCCUAAACCUUUCCAGCUGCGAUUAAAGCCAGCAAGGUUCUGUCAUGCCUUCAGUGUCAUGAAGCACAAUCAUGAAGAGGGAGCCCUGCUUUUCAGAAUUCUCUACAUAUUGGAAGGUUGAAAUAUCAUCUCCACACCUGCCAUAUUUAAAACCAUUUAAAAAGUAUUUUUAAAAUAAAGGUAUUAGAAUACCCCAAACAGAGGCUUCUGAAAGGUGAGUUAAGAAAAGCAAUUACUAAUCCUUCCUUACAUAUUACAUAUCUAUUAGAAUGUCCCAGGAUGAGUUUUUCUGGUUUUCCAUCAGUGUGGUAUCAUUGAUUAUAUUACAUAUGUGGUUUAUUGUAACAGCCAGGUCUCUUUCUACAGAGCUGUUAAUUUUCUCAAUUUUGUAUUUAUGCAUUUGAUUUUCUUCUAGCCUCAGUAUAGUACUUGGUCCUUGUAUUUAUUGAGUUUCAUAUUAUUGAUUACAGACCACUUCUCCCAUUUAUCAAAUUCAUUUUGAAUUCUAAUCCUUCCACUCCCUUGCACGCCUUUUCUUUGGCAUUUUUUUUUGAGUGUGCUUUGCAUUCUAUCAACCAAGUCAUAAGUGAAAAUUUUGCAUUGGAUCAGAUUUUGGCCAGACCCUAGCAGAAUUCUAUAGAAUAUAGAAUAUAGGAUAUAUUCUAUAGAAUAUAUCCUUAUAUAUCCUUUCUAUUUGAAAGCAAAAUAAAAUAAGUCUAGGAGUAUUUUCUGCAAGCAAUUGUGCACAUAAUGUGUGUAGCAAGUUAGCCCAGGACAAAAUGUUUCUGUACCCUGUUAAUGAGAAUGUCAAGUAAGAUAGUGCCCAAUAACUCCUGUAAGUUAAUACACAUCUCUUCUGCUGCCUUAUUUGCUAUGAGCCUGAUAAUCUGUUAAAGAAAGAAAACACAGCAGUUUAUCAAACUUUUUUUUCAAAAAAAUUUCCUGCCUGUUUCUUUUUCACUGACCCUCCAGGUGCUUUAAAAGUGUCAAUUUAAUAAUUUAUUAGAGUAUUGUUCUUGAUGUUGAAAUGAUGUUGACUGCUGAUUUUUCCUUUCUGAAGAUGAUAUUUUAUUCUCCCCUAUUCAGACUACCUGUUGUUCAAGAAUUCUUGAAAACAGUGAUGGCAAUGCAGUGUUAUAAAUGUUUUAAUUCUAGGACCACUUCACAGAAAAUAUCUGAGGUUCCUGCCUGCUAUUCUGCCUUCCCUGGUUCCUCUGGACUUGCGAAGAUUGAUCCUCAGUGGUCUGAUGGCUUCUUUGAUGUGUCUGAGGGUAGCCUAACAGGCAGAAGAAGACCCAAACAUCUGAAGAAUGUGCCUGGGAUGUGACUCUUCAGCAGACACCAAAUGCACUCCAGAAAAGAAGCACUGAAAGUAUCGCUUUAGUAUGAAUGAACCUGCCCUACCUACUGAACUUUUCAACUUAUUUUACAGUUACUGAAGGAACACAUUAAAGGCAAGAGUCAGAAGUGACUAUAAAUUAUCUCAGUGGCCAAGAAAGACUUGCUCCCCAUGCUCUUGCUCCCAUCCUUCCUGAUCCACGUGUUCUUGUCUCCUCAAGCACCCAUCCUUCCUUGUUCAGGUUAUAACAGGCUUCGUUGUGAAUUGACAUGAUCCACUGCUGACUGAAUGUGGUUCCCAAAAAGACCUCAUUAGCUGUGGAGCUGGCAUGGCACAAGCAUCAGGAGUGAGUGGUCAGUGCUGGGGCAGAAAGGAAGGGUGGGAAGGGCAGGUAGCAGUGUACAUCAGCUGUGGAGGGGUGUUGAGUCAGCUUCCUAGAGCUGUGGAACCAUCCCUCAAAGAUGAACAGUCUGUCUUGCAACUAAUGACAGUGAAAAUACUAACUAAUAAGGUUCUAUAAACUCUGGUUAACAGUGUUGCUAAAAUUACUAAUGAAGGCAAAAACUGGAAGGUAAUGUUCUUCAAGCCUGUCUUUGCUGCAGGUAUUCCACUGAUAAUGGAGUAAUAUGCAGUUGAAACUUAAUUGGAACACUAAGGAAAGCUUGAACUAUUUAUGGUAUUUAAUAAUUUAAUAGUACAAAGUGCACUGAUUGUAGUAGUAUUAAUUUUUCUAUUUAAUUUAAUUAUUACUUAUAUUUCUUAAUUAAUAAUGCAAGAGUGUAUUUUUGUGUAGCACUUUUUUUUGUGUAGUUUACAUUUUGCACCAGAAUUUAAUCAAGAUCUUCCUGUUGCUUGUAAAAAAUGAAUACAUUCUGGUAUACACACAUUCUGAACACUUGCUCAAUUCUGUCAUCUAUGAGAUCCCUGCAAGGCUCAUAAAGAUGAUCUUAUCACUAAAUAUUUAUUCCAGGAUGUGUAAGAGCCCUCUAAUUUUUACAUUCUUAUGUUUACAACACUCAGGUAAAAACAGGGUGUUUUAUUUCUCCCACUACAGCUGGGAUAUCAAAGCACAGAGAUGUUAAAGUCUGUACUCAAAAAGGUUAUUUAAGAUCAUGCAUCCCACUAGAUGACCUGCCUAGAGUGCUAAGAAAAUCUUUUGUGGAGCAAGCACUGAACUUACAUUUGCCAAAUCCAGGAGGAUCUUCCUUACUACUGGACUUACUGUCUCACUAAGAUUGCAUUAAAGAGUUCUUUAAAGCUAGGUUUAGAGUACCUUGUUGAGUGGGAAUAAAGAUUUUCUUCUAAGGGAAGUUUUGAAUGUAGGUCAUAGGAGGGCAGAAAGGAUAUAAAAUAGCUGCUGAUGCACAUGAUGGCUUUUAUGGGCAAGGAAAAUGAGAGCUGUAAUGUUUUAAUGUUUUGGGAAAAAAACUUUAUCCAUGACAUGAAAAACAAGCUUAAAUUAAGAAAUAUUGGGUUAUACUGAAGCCCUAAGGGAUUGAAGUCAGUAGAGAAUAGUCAUUCCUCUGGAAAAAUAAAGGAGGUACUCCAUAGAUUAACUUAGCAUUGCUCUAGAACAAGAUCUUGUUACUUAGAAAGCCAGUGUGCUGACAGCUGUGCGCCUACUUAGAAUGUAUAGCAUGGAAAAAAAAUAUAAAAUAAUAAAUUUUAAGCUUAUGUCUUAAAUGUGAAGAAAUAAGAUGCUGUAUUUGUGUAAUGGACUUGUUUUGGUGUAUUGAUGGUAAAUUACUUCUCAGUGUUUAAGAUCAUUUAUGAGUGUAACCAUGUCUAUAAAUUGUGUACCACUAUUUUAUAUGAAGCCAGUUUGGUUGAGAUAUUAUUAGUGGACCUGCAUGCAAUUUUUAUGGCUAAGAAAGCAAAUUUUAAAUUGAAGUGCAUAAAAUGAGGAACGAACAUUUUCCAAAGGAAUUUGCUCUGACGUGAAAGAAAUUCUUGGUGAGACCUCUAAUCUCCUAUGCUUGAUAUAGGAGAUGAGCCUAAAGGAAGGAAAGAAGGUGAAUUCUCAACAGGUGGCAUAGACAGAAUAUACUUUAUAAUGACCUGCCUUGUUCUGGGAGUUUUAAGUAUCACUGGUAACAGAACUGGACUAGGUCUGUGCAUGACCUAGUAUGACUAGUCUUACUUUCUAGAAUAUAGUUUCACUUAAUGAAUUUUUUAUAUUUUUGUACAUUUUUAUAUUUUCAUACAUUUUAAUUCAACUUUUAGUUUUUAUUAUGACAUUUUAUUAAUAAAACUUAUUUUAUAUAAUGCAUUGUAUACUGAAAAAUGAGUAUUCAAGUUAUUUUACCGGUUCCAUGAGUAAUGUAUUUUCUAUUCACAAUAUUUUCUUCUACAGUCUGUAUAAAUGUGCUGUAUAAAAUUUAUAUGUUAUAACAAUAAAUUAUUCUCUUCAGUA